rnacentral:rRNA from 1 species
GCCUCAAAUCAAGUAAGAAACCCCCCCCU